UGUGGUCGCGCUCCGGCUGAGUCGGGCGCGCGCGCGCUCGCGAGUCUAGCGGCGGCGGAUCGCGCCGGACAGUCGACUUCAGUUCAUCAGCGGCGUCCAUGUUACACAUUCGAUACGCCAGCCACCACGAUCUACAUCCAAUUGGACAUCUCAUUCAUUACAAAAAUUAUCCAAGUGUAUUAAGUGUGCUCCCACGUUCAACUGCACAAAGGAAACGAAAUUACUCAAGUUGAGAUUAAAUCCACAACAAAGAGGAUUGUGAAGACGUUGGAUCCAUCUGGCCGACGUCAGCGACUCAGAGAAGUGUAGAAGUGUUGUUAAUUACCGUCAGACGAGAUUUAUUUGUGUAAUAGAAAGGAGAGGAGGCUCUCGGUUUCAUGGUCGUCAGUACUUUAGCAUUUCACAUGUUACAAGAUGUAAUUUCAACGCACAAAAACAUAAUUAACAAUUCCCGAUUGGGUUUUGGAUGAAAAACAGUGAGAAG